GUGUUGUCCGUUACGUCAGUCUGAGACGAUUCGAGACCGAAAACAACGAAACCCAGUGUGCACUUAUUUCCCUUAUUUCCUACUUUUCAUCUCCGAUAAUUCAGGAAAACCGGUCGGAAAUUUUGCUAUAAAACUAUCCGAAUUUAAAACAAUCAAUCCGUUUUUACUGCAAGUCUUUGUCCGGUUUUUUCUCGAUGAUCACGUUAAAACCGCUCGAAAUAUCGGAAAAAAAUCACUCGCUGCAAGGACAUCGCAUUACAACAGUGUUUCCCGAUAGAGGGAGAGG